rnacentral:rRNA from 1 species
UACGUAGGGUGCGAGCGUUGUCCGGAAUUACUGGGCGUAAAGAGCUCGUAGGUGGUUUGUCGCGUUGUCCGUGAAAACUCACAACUCAAUUGUGGGCGUGCGGGCGAUACGGGCAGACUGGAGUACUGCAGGGGAGACUGGAAUUCCUGGUGUAGCGGUGGAAUGCGCAGAUAUCAGGAGGAACACCGGUGGCGAAGGCGGGUCUCUGGGCGGUAACUGACGCUGAGGGGCGAAAGCGUGGGGAGCGAACAGG